rnacentral:rRNA from 1 species
UACAGAGGUGGCAAGCGUUGUUCGGAAUUACUGGGCGUGAAGGGCGCGUAGGCGGCCAUCUAAGUCAGACGUGAAAUCCCCCGGCUUAACCUGGGAACUGCGUCUGAUACUGGACGGCUUGAGUAUGGGAGAGGGAUGUAGAAUUCCAGGUGUAGCGGUGAAAUGCGUAGAUAUCUGGAGGAAUACCGGUGGCGAAGGCGGCAUCCUGGACCAUUACUGACGCUGAGGCGCGAAAGCUAGGGGAGCAAACGGG